AUGCGAGCUUAAGCCGUUAGGUGUAGGCGAAGCGAAAGCGAGUCUGAAUAGGGCGCAUGAGUUAGAUGGAUCAGACCCGAAACCGAGUGAUCUAGGCAUGGCCAGGUUGAAGGUUGGGUAACACCAACUGGAGGACCGAACCCACAUCCGUUGAAAAGGAUCGGGAUGAGCUGUGCCUAGGGGUGAAAGGCCAAUCAAACUCGGAGAUAGCUGGUUCUCUGCGAAAUCUAUUUAGGUAGAGCGUCAUCCGAAUACCCCCGGGGGUAGAGCACUGGAUGGGUAAUGGGGCCCCACAGGCUUACUGAUCCUAACCAAACUCCGAAUACCGGGGAGUACUAGAUGGCAGACACACAGCGGAUGCUAACGUCCGUUGUGGAGAGGGAAACAACCCUGACCUACAGCUAAGGCCCCCAAUUCAUGGCUAAGUGGGAAAGCAGGUGGGACGACCAAAACAACCAGGAGGUUGGCUUAGAAGCAGCCAUCCUUUAAAGAUAGCGUAACAGCUCACUGGUCUAAAUAAGGGUUCCUGCGGCGAAAAUGUAACGGGGCUAAAGAUAUGCACCGAAGCUUAGGGUUGCAGUUUACUGCAGCGGUAGCGGAGCGUUCCGUAGGCGAGUGAAGGCGAAGGGUAACCGACGCUGGACGUAUCGGAAGUGCGAAUGCUGACAUGAGUAGCGACAAACAGGGUGAGAUACCCUGUCGCCGAAAGACCAAGGGUUCCUACGCAAUGCUAAUCAGCGUAGGGUGAGCCGGCCCCUAAGACGAGCCCGAAGGGGGUAGUCGAUGGGAACACGGUUAAUAUUCCGUGACCUGGUGGAAUGUGACGGAUCUCGUGUGUUGUCUGAUCUUAUUGGAUUGAUCAGGCUUCGAAGAGGUUCCAGGAAAUAGCUCCACCAUAUAGACCGUACCCUAAACCGACACAGGUGGACUGGUAGAGAAUACCAAGGCGCUUGAGAGAACGAUGCUGAAGGAACUCGGCAAAUUGCUUGCGUAACUUCGGGAUAAGCAAGCCCCGUUAGAGGGCAACCUCUGGCGGGGGGCACAGACUAGGGGGUAGCGACUGUUUACUAAAAAC
rnacentral:rRNA from 1 species